CCGUUCUUCGUUUUCAGUUUUAUCUCUUCCUCCUCUUCUUCGAUUCUUCUCCUUCAUCUUUUUAACCUUCAGUUCCUCUUCUUUUUUUUUGUCCUCAAUUCACUGAUUCUGUUUUUGUAUAAUCUUCUUAAUUUAAGUUGGAGGUGGAGAUUAUUGAGUUCAUGUACGCACCAAGGAAGAAUUACGGCGGUGGAUGAAGUUGCAACCGCUAUGGUUGUGGAUCAUAAUAUGGCGGUGGUGUUGUAGUAGGGGCGGUGGAGUUUGUGAUGGUCAUCCAUGAUGUGAUGAUGGAUACGGAGGAGGCAGCGGCGGAAGAGAGCAAAUCGAUGGAAAGUACUAAAUCUCGCCGCCACAUAGAACACAUGCAGUGACGCUAUGAAAGAGAGCACAACAAGAAGCAGAGGAAAGAAGUAGAGACACGACAGGGAGGAGCGAGAGAUGCAUACUGGAGUCAACAACAAUGGGCAUGCAAUUUGGUGCGGCUGAGAUGAUUCCGAUGGCGAUAGAUGCCACGGAAGAUAAGUCACAGUUGCAGCGCCGGAAGCGGCCAGCAACAGUCUUGGUGCGAUGAUUCUGUAUGCUCUGCUUAAGUGUUUAUAGGCGUCUUUGUCUGGUGUGGAGCUGUUAAUGCAAAAAAUCCAGAACCUCAUUGUUGUUGCCGGGAUUCUAUUUGUAUUUUGCUUAAAUUUCAUUAACCUCUUUCUCUCUUAUAUUCAAUUUACAUCCAAUAUACAAAACUAAAUCAGAUUUCAAAGUAAUGCAGCAUGAAUUAUUCAUUUUUUCUUUAGUAUUUGAAGUCCUGGCUUUUGUAUUUUCAGAGUAAUUUAGGAACUAAGGCAAAAAAAGUUCUUCCUGUGUAGCUAUUGUGGAAGGUUUGCAUCCACCCACUCUAUUGUGUCUUUAUUAGUUCUCUUUUUGUUCAAUUGCUUAAAUUUGUUCUUUGCUUUUCCUUAUUAUUAUUCUACUGCUUAUUAUUACCUUAUCCCUCCUCCUUCCUCUCAAGUUUGGCUAUGUUCUUCACUCUUCAGGGAGGUAGUUUCAAUUCUCGAUUUUUGGGUCAUUUCCUCUUCCUCUUCAGUCCGUUUCUCGGU